rnacentral:rRNA from 1 species
AGAGUUUGAUCCUGGCUCAGGAUGAACGCUGGCGGCGUGCUUAACACAUGCAAGUCGAACGAUGAAGCCUCGCUUGCGGGGUGGAUUAGUGGCGAACGGGUGAGUAACACGUGAGCAACCUGCCCUGGACUCUGGGAUAAGCGCUGGAAACGGUGUCUAAUACUGGAUAUGAGCUCUCAUCGCAUGGUGGGGGUUGGAAAGAUUUUUCGGUCUGGGAUGGGCUCGCGGCCUAUCAGCUUGUUGGUGAGGUAAUGGCUUACCAAGGCGUCGACGGGUAGCCGGCCUGAGAGGGUGACCGGCCACACUGGGACUGAGACACGGCCCAGACUCCUACGGGAGGCAGCAGUGGGGAAUAUUGCACAAUGGGCGGAAGCCUGAUGCAGCAACGCCGCGUGAGGGAUGACGGCCUUCGGGUUGUAAACCUCUUUUAGCAGGGAAGAAGCGAAAGUGACGGUACCUGCAGAAAAAGCGCCGGCUAACUACGUGCCAGCAGCCGCGGUAAUACGUAGGGCGCAAGCGUUAUCCGGAAUUAUUGGGCGUAAAGAGCUCGUAGGCGGUUUGUCGCGUCUGCUGUGAAAACCCGAGGCUCAACCUCGGGCCUGCAGUGGGUACGGGCAGACUAGAGUGCGGUAGGGGAGAUUGGAAUUCCUGGUGUAGCGGUGGAAUGCGCAGAUAUCAGGAGGAACACCGAUGGCGAAGGCAGAUCUCUGGGCCGUAACUGACGCUGAGGAGCGAAAGGGUGGGGAGCAAACAGGCUUAGAUACCCUGGUAGUCCACCCCGUAAACGUUGGGAACUAGUUGUGGGGUCCUUUCCACGGAUUCCGUGACGCAGCUAACGCAUUAAGUUCCCCGCCUGGGGAGUACGGCCGCAAGGCUAAAACUCAAAGGAAUUGACGGGGACCCGCACAAGCGGCGGAGCAUGCGGAUUAAUUCGAUGCAACGCGAAGAACCUUACCAAGGCUUGACAU